AGCAGUGUAGUGUAGUGGUUGGAGCAUUGGACUAUGAUUCUGGAGACCAGGGUUUGAAUCCCUGCUCAGCCA